GACGAACGCUGGCGGCGUGCUUAACACAUGCAAGUCGAGCGGUAAGGCCCUUUCGGGGGUACACGAGCGGCGAACGGGUGAGUAACACGUGGGUGACCUGCCCUCAGCUCUGGGAUAAGCCUGGGAAACCGGGUCUAAUACUGGAUAUGACUCCAUGACGCAUGUUGUGGGGUGGAAAGCCUUGUGCGGCUGAGGAUGGGCCCGCGGCCUAUCAGCUUGUUGGUGGGGUGANGGCCUACCAAGGCGACGACGGGUAGCCGGCCUGAGAGGGCGACCGGCCACACUGGGACUGAGGCACGGCCCAGACUCCUACGGGAGGCAGCAGUGGGGAAUCUUGCGCAAUGGGCGAAAGCCUGACGCAGCGACGCCGCGUGAGGGAUGACGGCCUCGG
rnacentral:rRNA from 1 species